CAAAAGUGUGUGCAACCUUCUUGGCUU
rnacentral:piRNA from 1 species